AGAGUUUGAUCAUGGCUCAGAACGAACGCUGGCGGCAGGCUUAACACAUGCAAGUCGAACGGAGGGCUUCGGCCCUUAGUGGCGGACGGGUGAGGAACACGUAGGAAUCGGCCCACGAGUGGGGGACAACCUGGGGAAACUCAGGCUAAUACCGCAUACGCUCGCGAGAGGAAAGCGGGGGACCUUCGGGCCUCGCGCUGGUGGACGAGCCUACGUCCGAUUAGCUAGUUGGUGGGGUAACGGCCUACCAAGGCGACGAUCAGUAGCCGACCUGAGAGGGUGAACGGCCACACUGGAACUGAGACACGGUCCAGACUCCUACGGGAGGCAGCAGUGGGGAAUAUUGCACAAUGGGCGCAAGCCUGAUGCAGCAACGCCGCGUGAAUGAUGAAGGCCUUCGGGUCGUAAAGUUCUGUCCUAAGGGAAGAAUACAGUGACGGUACCUUAGGAGGAAGCCCCGGCUAACUACGUGCCAGCAGCCGCGGUAAUACGUAGGGGGCAAGCGUUAUCCGGAAUCACUGGGCGUAAAGGGAGCGUAGGUGGUUUGACAAGCCAGAGGUGAAAGGCAAUAGCUUAACUAUUGUAAGCCUUUGGAACUGUCGAACUUGAGUGUAGGAGAGGAAAGUGGAAUUCCUAGUGUAGCGGUGAAAUGCGUAGAUAUUAGGAGGAACACCAGUGGCGAAGGCGACUUUCUGGACUAUAACUGACGCUGAGGCUCGAAAGCGUGGGGAGCAAACAGGAUUAGAUACCCCGGUAGU
rnacentral:rRNA from 1 species